rnacentral:sRNA from 1 species
ACUUCCUGAGCCGGAACGAAAAGCUUUUUUUGGAAUGCGUGUUCUGAAGGGCUUUUGGCUUACGGUUGUGAUGUUGUGUUGUUGUGUUUGCAAUUGGUCUGCGAUUCAGACCACGGUAGCAACGCUACCACUUUUUCACUUCCUGUAC